GACGAACGCUGGCGGCGUGCCUAAUACAUGCAAGUCGAGCGAAGUUUUUCUGGUGCUUGCACCGGAAAAACUUAGCGGCGAACGGGUGAGUAACACGUAAAGAACCUGCCUCAUAGACUGGGACAACUAUUGGAAACGAUAGCUAAUACCGGAUAACAGCAUUAACUGCAUGGUUGAUGUUUAAAAGUUGGUUUUGCUAACACUAUGAGAUGGCUUUGCGGUGCAUUAGCUAGUUGGUGGGGUAAAGGCCUACCAAGGCGACGAUGCAUAGCCGACCUGAGAGGGUGAUCGGCCACACUGGGACUGAGACACGGCCCAGACUCCUACGGGAGGCAGCAGUAGGGAAUCUUCCGCAAUGGGCGAAAGCCUGACGGAGCAACGCCGCGUGAGUGAAGAAGGAUUUCGGUUCGUAAAGCUCUGUUGUUAGGGAAGAAUGAUUGUGUAGUAACUAUACACAGUAGAGACGGUACCUAACC
rnacentral:rRNA from 1 species